AGGGCUGGUCGAGAGACCCUGGUCCUUCACAGGCGGGGGUGGGGUCC
rnacentral:ncRNA from 22 species